rnacentral:rRNA from 1 species
AUACGAGAGGCCCAAACGUUAUUCGGAUUUACUGGGCUUAAAGAGUUCGUAGGCUGCGCAGAAAGUAGGGUGUGAAAGCCCUCGGCUCAACCGCGGAAUUGCGCCCUAAACUACUGUGCUUGAGGAAGCUAGAGGUGAGCGGAACUGAUGGUGGAGCGGUGAAAUGCGUUGAUAUCAUCAGGAACACCGGAGGCGAAGGCGGCUCACUGGGGCUUUCCUGACGCUGAGGAACGAAAGCCAGGGGAGCGAACG